rnacentral:rRNA from 1 species
GCGUGAGUGAAGAAGGCCUUAGGGUUGUAAAGCUCUUUCGUCAGGGAAGAUAAUGACGGUACCUGAAGAAGAAGCCCCGGCUAACUCCGUGCCAGCAGCCGCGGUAAUACGGAGGGGGCUAGCGUUGUUCGGAAUUACUGGGCGUAAAGCGCACGUAGGCGGCUAACCAAGUUGGGGGUGAAAGCCCAGGGCUUAACCCUGGAACUGCCUUCAAGACUGGUUGGCUAGAGGCCGAGAGAGGUAAGGGGAAUUCCUAGUGUAGAGGUGAAAUUCGU